GUCAUAUACCCUCUGGCCUCUCAGACCGUUGCGGAAUACUUUAGCCGUAUACGUCUUUCUAGUACCACAAUGAUGAAUGAUUACUCGCGCUGGACCGACGGAAAAGUGUAUACAUACAUCUUCUGGUAUCGACUAAAAAGGGAAGAAAAAGACGGACGACUUACUAAAAUUUGAAAGAGAUCAAAAGUUAAAUGAAACAAAUAAAGAAACAUAGAAUCUUUAAUGAGUAAAAAAAUUAGAAAUUACCACUUCGUCAUAUGCCAUGUCAUUUACGUCCAACCUAAUAAUGAAUUCUGGCCCGCUUUGAUUAGGGUUGAUACGUAG
rnacentral:lncRNA from 1 species